AAGCACAAUAUAAGAUGACAAAAUGCCACAUAAAAUAAUACAUCCUUUAGACAUAUGAUAAAAAACAAUUCAAACAAUUCAUUUAUUUGACUCUCUAAAUAGGACCUGUGAACAAUGCUUCAAUGGAGAUAUACCUUUGACAUUUCUGAUUUCAUUUAUGAGAACAUCAAGAUCAACAAGAUUCAUUUCCUCCAGUGAUUUGUCCACAGACUGAUCAAUUGAAAGGAAUCACACAUUUGAGGUCCACUAGCAGUGCCCUGAGAACAUCUUACAACAGUAUCUACAGCAAGAACCCAAGAUCUGCUAGGUGUCCUAAGGAAAGGCAGCCUUGGGGCCUUUCAAGGACCACACCACACCUAAGAGAACAUGAGGACCCGAUGAAGAUGAAAGGAAGGAACUUCAUCUAAAUGACUUCCAGGAAUUCUGUUACCCCUUUUGCCACAUAUGCUGGAACCUUGAGAGUACCGGAAUUUUAUAUAUGUUCAUGGGGGAGUGUGCCCUUGGUUUGGAG
rnacentral:lncRNA from 1 species